ensembl:lncRNA
UUUUUUUUUUUUUUUUUUUUUUUUUGCAAUGGUCAAAAAUAACGUAUUAAAUAAGUAUAUGAUAUUAUACGCUAUUUCAUGUUCCUUAUGUAGAGGAUCCAGCCUCCUGAAGACAGACAUAGUCCACAACGUACUUUCCUUUUGAGUGAUCAUACAUAUGUAGAUAAGUUGAAGGACACUUUCUUACAAAAUGUCUGUUUCAUCUUCUCUGUAUUCACCAUGGAAAGAAAUAUUUAAACAAUUUUGUUUUGUUGAUAAUGUGUCUUUGUAUAUUUUAAUAGAAUUUCUUUUCAACCCUGGUUUUCAUGUUUCAUUUUAAAACUUACAAAUAAAAUUAUGAACAAUGGAUCAGAAAAAUCAUAAUCUUCUACAAAGAUACCAAGUGGAACAUUUUUCAUACAAAUCUAUAUAACUACAUCAAGUGCCUUCUCUAGUUUACCAGUAUUACAAGAAAUAGAUUACCAGGAACAGGAGGUGAACUCUUACUUAAAUUUGAGGAUCCUUUGGGAAAAAACAAACAAACAAACAAACAAAAACAAACAAACAAAAAACCAGGAAAUAAUAUUAUCUUAAACUUGGGAAAAGCUGUGUCUUUUAGUAUAAGAUUAGUAAAAUUCUAUGUGGUUUCCUGUUUCUGUUGCUCUUAUCUAUCUGGCACAAAGAGGUGUACAGCUAUCUUCAUGGCUAAGGUGGAAAAUAUAAAGGAAAUUGUGAUUUUUCCAAAAUAUCUUCCACUAUAAUUUACCAUUCACUUGUGGAAGAUAUUUUGCACAUAGGGUAAUUGCUUUGGAAAUUUAAGCUUGUUAAUUAACUUCUAAAUCACUCUUUUUUUCUCACUGAUUGAGAAUCCUGUUUACCUUCGCAAGGGUACCCCUAUUCAGUGCUGAGGUUUGUUGUGAGAAACAGAAGAAAGGUGUGACACUCAAUUUUUGAUACCGUUUUAGUAGGAUGGAGGUCACUGUGUGCACCCUCCAGAAGCUCACCAGGUGACUGCAAAUGCAUGGAGUCCCAUGCCACAGUUUAAAUUCCAACCGGUUACCAAAGCUGUUCUAAGCAUCACUGUCUUGUAUAACAAUCUUCUGUAGACUCAUCUUUAGUAACACAUCUGCUUGAUGCAACAGCAUUAUUACUGGCCCAUUGUCUUCAGGUGAAUCCUUACAACAUGAGGGGUGAACUAGUGUAAAUGUAGCUUGCUGUUUGCUUAGUACUGUAUUUACUGUGUGGAGGAAAGGACUAGCUUUCUAGUCAUUAAUGCCAUAAUUGUAAUUACUCGACGUAGUUUUACUGAGCAAAAUUUAGUCCAGUUUCUUGAUCUGAAAAUGCUCUUUUCACGUGUUCACAAGAUGAACACAUCUUAUAUAGUAAGAGUUUAAUUACUAAAGCAGUAGUUUUAGAAGUCAUGGUUUUGAUGAAGACCAGUGCUGUCUAAAAACAAGUUCUAUGUUUUAACAACACGUGUUUAUCAACGUAUGUCUGUAACUGUUCCCAGAAUGUUAAGAAGUAUAAAGAGUAUCUUGAUGAAAAUUUGUACAAUGAGAAAAGAAUGUCAGUAUUGUACUGCUUAAUCAAUAGCUUAAUCAAACAACAGAGAAGACAAAAUAUUUUCCACCAGAUACUUGACCUAAUUGCUCUAAUUGUCACUGUUGGAGUAGAUAGCACCUAUUUAGAAUAAAAUAUCUGCCAUAGUUUGUAUAUGGAUGUAUUACUUGGUUACAAAUGAACGUGCUUAUAGAACUGAUAUAUUCCAUUACUUUGUCGUCUUUUGUCAAUUUGAAUUGACUUAGAAUUUGUGCUAUGUAACACGAUGUGAUACCACAUCAUUUGACAUAAAUUGGUGUAACAUAAUUUAGCAGGUUGAAAAAGUAGAACCAACAAAACUGUGUCCAUGAUGAAAUUCAUGCUGCUCAUUUAGCAAAUGUGAUAUUUUGUUUGCUGCAGAGUAAAAGUAUAUUUCAGAUUAUUUCUAGAGAAAUACCUAUAUUCAUAAUUUAACAUAGUAGAACUACUUAAAUAACCUUGAAGUUGAUUAACCCUUACUCUUGGUGGGAGAGUAUCUAGGGAAUACCUUGAACACAUGCCAUUUUUCUCAUAAGUCAUCAAAACAUAGCACAGUAGCCUAGGCUUUGCAUUCAUAUUUUUGCACAGUGCAUAUCAUCCUCAUUUCCACAACAUUAACACAGAUAUGUUGAUGAUCAAGCUCAGGCAGAAAAAAAUACUUUUGCGUGUAGGACCCAUAGCUUUGUAUCUGAUCAUUAAAUCGUGUAUAACAUGAAAUCCAUGUCAUCUGAAAAUGACAGGCAAGUGUCACCUACAGUAUGAAAAAGUAAUUGGCAGAAGCUUCAUUAGUUAAUUGGGGUGAUUAAGGAAUUAAUUGUUUUGCUUAUUCAAAGUAACCCCUUCUUAACAGCCUCAGAAAUUCACCACAGCUUUAAGCCCUGCGUGUACUAAUAAUGAAUCAGCCUUUUUGAACUGAGAACAAAGGAAAUGCAGUAGAAAAACAAAACAAAACAAAACAAAAAAAACAAGGUUAUUCCAUUUGUCAUGCAGCAAGUAUAUUUAUUUUUGAUGAUGUCCAUAUAAAUGGGAGAAAAUAAGUAAUUUCCCAUACAUGAAUGAAGGUAAAUUAAAAUAGACUUUAGAUCUUCUUCUUUAUCAGCCUGCAGUCUUCCUUUUUUGCUUAAAUCGAGCUGAAGUCACUCCAGGCAUGGUGAACCAGUAUCCUUUAUGCCUUCCCUGCAAAGAUGCUUCUCAGCUAGUUGGUGAUCAGUGUGUGUAUUGGUACCUGUUCUUCUUCCUCAGGAUUUGAUUUUUUUUUUGUUGUUUGAUGGGGCUUCAUGUAGAUCCUGUCUGCAUAUUCCUCCAGCUUUUCAAGGUCCCUCUGGAUGGCAACGCAGACUGAAGGUGCAGUCCAUCAUGUCAUUCUGAUUGUCAAUGA